GAGAAAAUACCAAAUGAAUUAGAAAUUUGCUUCUCAUUUUAUCAAACAAGCUCGGAAAUAGACAGGGAAAGCACAAGAGAGUUGCAUGGAUUCUCUACUUCUAACUGCUUGUCGAGCAAGCUCAGAAGGAGGCAGCAAAGCCAGCUCAAGAUGCAAAAAUGAAACAAAGCAGAAAGAAAAGUGAAGGGAAUUAAGAUCACUAGCUCAGAAACAAGCUCAAAAACAGGCAGCAAAGCCAGCUCAAGAUGCAAAAAGAAACUAAGCAGCAAGAAAAGUGAAUGGAAUUAAGAUCACUGGCUCAGAAACAAGCUCAGAAACAGGCAGCAAAGCCAGCUCAAGAUGCAAAAAUGAAACAAAACAGCAGGAAAAGUGAAGGGAAUUAAGAUCAGUAGCUCAGAAACAAGCAGCAAAGGCAGCUCAAGAUGCAAAAAUGAAACGAAGCAGCAAGAAAAGUGAAGGGAACUAAGAUCAGUAGCUCAUACAGAACAGACCCAAAAAGCUAAAAUGACUACAAAAUUAAGGUUUUACUUUACAUUUUCUCAGUAGCCAAACAAGCCUAGAAACAGCAAUGAGAAAAAGGAGCUGAAACAGAAUUAGCAGAGGAUCCACUUCUUACUGCCAACCUCACAAACACCAACAAAGCUUGCUCAAGAUGCAAUAAUGAAUCAAAGCAAAAAAGAAAAGUGAGUUAAAAUUUUACUUCACAAAAAGCUCAAGAUGCAAGAAUGAAUCAUCACAAAAGGCUCUAAAUGACCAUGAAUCAAGAUUUUGAAAGAGGGAGUAGCAAUGCUUUCUAGACUUCAGCAAAGAGAAUAGUGAAGACUGAAGUGAAUCAAUACCCCAAAAAGGCAGAAUGGCUAAGACAUCAAGAUUUUCCUUCCCAUUUUUUCAGUAGCCAAACAAGUUGAGAAACAAAAAGAGAAAAGAAAUAACUAGGAAUCAAGAUUUCUUUCAUCCCCAUUUUCUCAGCAUCCAAACAAGCUCAGAAACAACAAGAACAGCAAUAAUAAGUUCACUUCUUACGUCAAACUUCCCAGUCUUCAACCAUUAAAGCUUCCUCAAGAUCCAAAAAUGCCCAAAUCCAUCAGAACUCGAAACAGAUAAACAAGUGCGUUCUCAUUCGAUCGCAUUGAUGAAGAAACUGACGAAAAAGGAAAACGAAAAG